CUAAAACUAGAGGUUUGAACUAAAUACUCAGGAAAACAAUGUUGUUCCUCUUCAUGGUGUUUUUCACUCUUGCUGAUGUUGCAGAGGCUGCUGACAAUAGCAUUAAACCAGAUCAAACCAGUGUAUUUUCAAAGGAAGGCAGCAACAUCUCACUGUCCUGCACAUAUACUGGAUCAGUUUACAGUCUCCUCUGGUAUCGACACAAACCUGGAUCAAGACCUGACUUUCUGCUGAUGAUUGAUGAGAGCGGUAAAUUUGUCACACGAGCUCAACCACCUCAUCCACGAUUGUCCAUAAGACUUAAAAAUGAUCAAGAUAAAAACAGUAAGAAAGUGGAUCUGCUCAUCUCCUCUGCUGCUGUAUCAGACUCUGCUUUAUAUUACUGUGCUCUGAGGCCCACAGUGACAGGAAAACCCAGCUGCACUGUACAAAAACCACAACACAUGACUGAAGCAGAGCCAUGCUUUUCUCACAAGAUGGAGCUGUUUACAUGUUUACACUUUCUUCAGUCAUCUGUCUAUGCUGUCAGUUUGUUUCUGAAGAUCAACCAUCAUUUCUGGACCAAUAAUAAAAUCUGUUGUUGUUUGAGUACAGUAAAGCUCAAAUGA